UUGCCUAUAAAGGGGCCCACGAUACGUGCUUCGGCAUUGCCUAUAAAGGGGUCCACGAUACGUGCUGCAGCAUUGCCUAUAAAGGGGCCCGCGAUACGUGCCUAGGCAUUGAGUUUAAAGGGUAAACUGCUGGUGAGAGCGCAGGUCAGGGGCUGCAGCUCUUUGGCUGUAGUUGACUUGGCUGGGCGGGUCCAAUACCAAUUGGGUUCCUCUUUGCCUUUGGCUUGGAGGUUACUCAGCUGUGAGGGGUGACUUGACCAACUAUUAAGCUUUAUUUCUGAAGACAGGCUGUUAGCUGGCUUGCUGGCUGCAGACUGAUUUAACAAAAGACAACUCUCAACAACGGAUAUCUUGGCUCCCGUAACGAUGAAGAACGCAGCGAAAUGCGAUACGUAGUGUGAAUUGCAGAAUUCCGUGAACCAUCGAAUCUUUGAACGCAAAUUGCGCUCGAGGCCUCGGCUAAGAGCAUGUCUGGCUCAGCGUCGGCUUACUACCCUCAAUCAAUUACCUUGUGAUGAUUGGUUGGAGCUGGCUUUCCGGUGUUCCAAUCAGGUUGCCGGUCAGCUGAAAAACAUUCACGCUGUGGAAGUCGCUUUCCCUUCAAAAAGGAAAGCCGAGUUCCGAUUUGGUAGGUGACCUUUGCCGGUUGCAUGCCUUCGUUGCUCGUUUUGGCUUUCAUGAUAGCGUGUGCAGGACGCCAUUGCUUGGCUUUCGA
rnacentral:rRNA from 1 species